rnacentral:rRNA from 1 species
GGGGAAUAUUGGACAAUGGGGGAAACCCUGAUCCAGCGACGCCGCGUGAGUGAAGAAGUAUUUCGGUAUGUAAAGCUCUAUCAGCAGGGAAGAAAAUGACGGUACCUGACUAAGAAGCCCCGGCUAACUACGUGCCAGCAGCCGCGGUAAUACGUAGGGGGCAAGCGUUAUCCGGAUUUACUGGGUGUAAAGGGAGCGUAGACGGCUAUGCAAGUCUGGUGUGAAAACCCGGGGCUCAACCCCGGGACUGCAUUGGAAACUGUGUGGCUGGAGUGUCGGAGAGGUAAGUGGAAUUCCUAGUGUAGCGGUGAAAUGCGUAGAGAUUAGGAAGAACACCAGUGGCGAAGGCGACUUUCUGGACAAUAACUGACGCUGAGGCUCGAAAGCGUGGGGAGCAAAC